AUGUAUCCUCAUGAAUGAAGGGGUCUAUUCUUAGAAGAUGAUGGUUUUUUAAAGGCUAUUAUCUGAGCAGUGCUAGUAUGGAGCUCCUGGAGGACAGAAGUAAUCUGCUUUCUCCUGCCGAUGCAACAAGAUGCAGCAGACAGCCUUUGUAUUUGAAGACAAAGCAGAGAGUCUUUUAAGAACCCACUCACUUGCCCAGGAGGCAGAGAUGCUUCAGUGGCCAAUGCGUGAGGUCUUUG
rnacentral:lncRNA from 1 species